rnacentral:rRNA from 1 species
AUGCCCAAAAAAUGUGGUGGCUUGGGGAUCAUGAAUCUCAAAUGGUUUGGAUUCGCCCUUCGUUGUCGCUGGCCGUGCUUGAGAUGGGAGACCGAGGAGAGGCCUUGGUGUAUGCGGCCAGAGGAAACAGAGAAGGAAGUCUCUACCAUGGUCAAAGCGGCGACGCUUAUACGUUUGGGUGAUGGCCAGAGGGCCAAAUUUUGGACGGACAAAUGGCUGCCAGGUGGGCGGUCCAUUGACGAGCUGGCCCCUGCCUUGUUUUCCUUCGUCAAGGACUCGGCUCGCUCGGUGAAGGAGGCCCUUGCUAAUAGGGGCUGGAUUAGGGAGAUCUCAGGAGGCAUCUCGGCCCAGGCCAUGAUGCAAUAUCUGCAAAUUUGGGACCUCGUUCAAGACACAGUUCUAUCGAUGGAGACUCCGGAUAGACUGGUUUGGAGGCUGACCGGUGAUCUGAAUUUCUCGGUCAGCAGUGCUUACGGUAUGUUCUUCGCUGCAAAUAUGCGCUUUGCUUGCCAUAAACCAAUCUGGAAAUCAAAAGCUCCACCUAGAUGCAAAUUUUUCAUGUGGCUGGUCAUUCAUAAGAGAUGUUUGACUGCGGAUAACCUGCAAAGAAGGGGCUGGCCCUCAAAUGAUGUAUGCCCUCUGUGUCUCUUGGUGGCCGAAAACUGUAAGCAUCCAUUCUUAUUGUGCCGAUUCACACAGCAGGUUUGGUCCAGGUUCAGAGACUGGACGCGGGCUCAGUUCUCGAUCCCUGAUGACCACUUUGACAGUUCUGAAUCUUGGUGGAUCAAUACUCGAAAGGAAAUUCCCAAGUCAGCUCGAAGAAAUUUUGACACCAUCACCAUUCUGAUUCACUGGAGAAUUUGGAAGGAAAGAAACACGAGGAUUUUUGAGCAUGUGGCCAGCAAUGUGGACAGGGUGUUGGACCUGAUAAGAGAAGAUAUUGCUGUUUGGAGAUCGGCCGGUUGUGUAGGCGAUGUGUACUGA